rnacentral:misc_RNA from 1 species
AAGUCGUAACAAGGUCUCCGUUGGUGAACCAGCGGAGGGAUCAUUGCUGGAACAAACGCCCUCACGGGUGCUACCCAGAAACCCUUUGUGAACUUAUUCUCAAAAAUGUUGCCUCGGCAGUGACUGGCUUCUUUCCGGAGGUCCCUUCUUUGCUUCAAAGAAGGAGCAGGUCGGCCGGUGGCCCCUACCAAACUCUUGUUUUUACACUGUAUCUUCUGAGUACACAACUAUAAAUGAAUCAAAA